GGGUCUGCCCUUGGCCUGGGCUCUACGAGAUCACGGAUUUCAACAAAUGCCAACAGCAGCCGGCAUCACAGAGGCCUGGGAGAGCCGGGUCUGUGAGCGUCACUCUGCCUGGCAGCAGUCUAUGCAGGCCAGCGAGGGCCACCACACACCGUGAAACAAAAACUCCAACAGCAGCAGGCUCAUGCUUCCUGCUCACAGGCCGCAAGUCGGCUGAAGCGUCUCUGCUCGCCACUGGGGUCUGCUCACACACUCAUUCCAGGGCUCAGGCUGAAGGCGCAAUCGCCACCCAGGCCUACCCCUCUCAAGGUGCAAGGCAGGGGGACGAAAGGCCAACAAAGCCACACAACGUCGGAAGCCCUCGGUUGGAGGUGAAGCAUCUUAUGCCCGCUCUCAUUCCGCUGGCUGCAGCAGGUCAUGAGAUACACAGAAUCUAGCUGAGGACCCUGAAGCCCAAGAUGACAGCAGACACACGAGGGCCACUCAGUCACCUUUUGGAGGACAGUCACCAGGAGACACCCAGGUGGUUCCCAAUGGAGGACCAUGCUCCAGAGCCUGCACAGGUGGACACCAGCAUGCUUCCCCCGGAGCAGGUUUGACUGCUGAAACAGCAACCUGGAUUCACACAGUAAAGCCUCUCCUGACAAUCAGCACAGCAUAUUGCUCUCAGCCCAGUUUUUCUGCUCCUCACCCGCCUGUCCAUAUCAGGGUGCGUGCUACCUGGGAGGGAGCCAGCGUCUCUUUGGGCCAGAAGGUUUCUUAAGAAUAAAAAAGGG
ensembl:lncRNA